rnacentral:tRNA from 1 species
GCGUCGGUGGUUUAGUGGUAGAAUACUUGCCUGCCACGCGGGUGACCCGGGUUCAAUUCCCGGCCGACGCA